rfam:Gossypium hirsutum cultivar TM-1 chromosome 9, whole genome shotgun sequence
UAUUAAAAAUGUCAUCCAUUUACUAUUAAAAAUUAGUGUGACUGAUGGAAUAAUCAAACACUUAAACAUGGUGUGUCACGUGUACAUCAUUUUGACGUACGAGGACCAAUUUUUAAUAGUAGAAUUUGAUGAAUUUUUAACA